rnacentral:rRNA from 1 species
AACGAACGCUGGCGGCGCGUUUUAAGCAUGCAAGUCGAGCGGCAGGGGGGCCUCGGUCCCCCGAGAGCGGCGGACGGGUGAGUAACACGUGGACAACCUGCCCCCGGUUCGGGAUAGCCCAGGGAAACCUGGAUCAAUACCGGAUGCGAGGGCGGCCGCACAAGCGGCCGUCGGGAAAGGCGCUUCGGCGCCGCCGGGGGAUGGGUCCGCGUCCCAUUAGCUAGACGGUGGGGUAACGGCCCACCGUGGCGAUGAUGGGUAGCCGGCCUGAGAGGGUGGACGGCCACAUUGGAACUGAGACACGGUCCAGACUCCUACGGGAGGCAGCAGCUAAGAAUCUUCCGCAAUGGGCGAAAGCCUGACGGAGCGACGCCGCGUGAACGAAGAAGGCCGUGAGGUUGUAAAGUUCUUUUCGGGAGGGGGAACGAGGCUGCCAGGCAAUGGGCGGCCGAUGACGUGAAUCCCGGAAUAAGCCCCGGCUAACUACGUG